CGAUUGGAUUGCACGUCUAAGCAGUAAGGCUGAGUAUUAGGCAAAUCCGGUACUCGUUAAGGCUGAGCUGUGAUGGGGAGAAGACAUUGUGUCUUCGAGUCGUUGAUUUCACACUGCCGAGAAAAGCCUCUAGAUAGAAAAUAGGUGCCCGUACCGCAAACCGACACAGGUAGUCAAGAUGAGAAUUCUAAGGUGAGCGAGCGAACUCUCGUUAAGGAACUCGGCAAAAUGACCCCGUAACUUCGGGAGAAGGGGUGCUCUUUAGGGUUAACGCCCAGAAGAGCCGCAGUGAAUAGGCCCAAGCGACUGUUUAUCAAAAACACAGGUCUCUGCUAAACCGUAAGGUGAUGUAUAGGGGCUGACGCCUGCCCGGUGCUGGAAGGUUAAGAGGAGUGGUUAGCUUCUGCGAAGCUACGAAUCGAAGCCCCAGUAAACGGCGGCCGUAACUAUAACGGUCCUAAGGUAGCGAAAUUCCUUGUCGGGUAAGUUCCGACCCGCACGAAAGGCGUAACGAUUUGGGCACUGUCUCAACGAGAGACUCGGUGAAAUCAUAGUACCUGUGAAGAUGCAGGUUACCCGCGACAGGACGGAAAGACCCCGUGGAGCUUUACUGUAGCCUGAUAUUGAAAUUCGGCACAGCUUGUACAGGAUAGGUAGGAGCCUUUGAAACGUGAGCGCUAGCUUACGUGGAGGCGCUGGUGGGAUACUACCCUAGCUGUGUUGGCUUUCUAACCCGCACCACUUAUCGUGGUGGGAGACAGUGUCAGGCGGGCAGUUUGACUGGGGCGGUCGCCUCCUAAAAGGUAACGGAGGCGCUCAAAGGUUCCCUCAGAAUGGUUGGAAAUCAUUCAUAGAGUGUAAAGGCAUAAGGGAGCUUGACUGCGAGACCUACAAGUCGAGCAGGGUCGAAAGACGGACUUAGUGAUCCGGUGGUUCCGCAUGGAAGGGCCAUCGCUCAACGGAUAAAAGCUACCCCGGGGAUAACAGGCUUAUCUCCCCCAAGAGUUCACAUCGACGGGGAGGUUUGGCACCUCGAUGUCGGCUCAUCGCAUCCUGGGGCUGUAGUCGGUCCCAAGGGUUGGGCUGUUCGCCCAUUAAAGCGGUACGCGAGCUGGGUUCAGAACGUCGUGAGACAGUUCGGUCCCUAUCCGUCGUGGGCGUAGGAAAUUUGAGAGGAGCUGUCCUUAGUACGAGAGGACCGGGAUGGACAUACCUCUGGUGUACCAGUUGUCGUGCCAACGGCAUAGCUGGGUAGCUAUGUGUGGACGGGAUAAGUGCUGAAAGCAUCUAAGCAUGAAGCCCCCCUCAAGAUGAGAUUUCCCAACUUCGGUUAUAAGAUCCCUCAAAGAUGAUGAGGUUAAUAGGUUCGAGGUGGAAGCAUGGUGACAUGUGGAGCUGACGAAUACUAAUCGAUCGAAGACUUAAUCAA
rnacentral:rRNA from 1 species